rnacentral:lncRNA from 1 species
GAGAACUACAAAGACCCCACCAACUUGCAGGGAAAGCUCCAGAAACACCAAGCCUUUGAAGCUGAAGUACAGGCCAACUCAGGAGCCAUUGUGAAGCUGGAUGAGACAGGAAACUUGAUGAUUUCUGAAGGGCACUUUGCAUCUGAGACCAUCCGGACACGUUUAAUGGAGCUGCACCGCCAGUGGGAGUUGCUUUUGGAGAAGAUGCGGGAGAAAGGAAUCAAACUGCUGCAGGCACAGAAGCUGGUGCAGUAUUUGCGGGAGUGUGAGGAUGUAAUGGACUGGAUCAAUGACAAGGUAUGCUUCGAGGGCAGCCCUAGGUAAGAUGGAGGGCAGGAUUGGGAGACUGUCUCAGCUGCUCUCUAGGAACCUUUUAUUU